GAUGACGCUGGCGGCGUGCCUAAUACAUGCAAGUCGAGCGAGCGGCGGACGGGUGAGUAAUGUCUGGGUAACUGCCUGAUGGAGGGGGAUAACUCCUGGAAACGGUAGCUAAUACCGCAUACCAUCAGAUGUGCCCAGAGGGGGUUAGCUAGUAGGUGGGGUAAUGGCUCACCACGGCGACGAUCCCUAGCUGGUCUGAGAGGAUGACCAGCCACACUGGAACUGAGACACGGUCCAGACUCCUACGGGAGGCAGCAGUGGGGAAUAUUGCACAAUGGGCGCAAGCCUGAUGCAGCCAUGCCGCGUGUAUGAAGAAGGCCUUCGGGUUGUAAAGUACUUUCAGCGGGGAGGCGUUACCCGCAGAAGAAGCACCGGCUAACUCCGUGCCAGCAGCCGCGGUAAUUC
rnacentral:rRNA from 1 species